rnacentral:rRNA from 1 species
UAAGGAAUAUUGGUCAAUGGACGCAAGUCUGAACCAGCCAUGCCGCGUGAAGGAUGAAGGCCCUCUGGGUUGUAAACUUCUUUUAUCUGGGACGAAAAAAGGGGAUUCUUCCUCACUUGACGGUACCAGAGGAAUAAGCACCGGCUAACUCCGUGCCAGCAGCCGCGGUAAUACGGAGGGUGCAAGCGUUAUCCGGAUUUACUGGGUUUAAAGGGUGCGUAGGUGGGUAGAUAAGUCAGUGGUGAAAUCUUCGAGCUUAACUCGGAAACUGCCAUUGAUACUAUUUAUCUUGAAUGCUUUGGAGGUAAGCGGAAUAUGUCAUGUAGCGGUGAAAUGCUUAGAUAUGACAUAGAACACCAAUUGCGAAGGCAGCUUACUACACAGUUAUUGACACUGAGGCACGAAAGCGUGGGGAUCAAACAG